rnacentral:rRNA from 1 species
ACUGCUCAGUAACACGUGGACAACCUGCCCUUAGGUUGGGUAUAAACCCGGGAAACUGGGUAUAAUACCCGAUAGGUCUCGAUUGCUGGAAUGCAUCGAGAUUUAAAGCUCCGGCGCCUAAGGAUGGGUCUGCGGCCUAUCAGGUAGUAGUGGGUGUAGCGUACCUACUAGCCUACGACGGGUACGGGUUGUGAGAGCAAGAGCCCGGAGAUGGAUUCUGAGACACGAAUCCAGGCCCUACGGGGUGCAGCAGGCGCGAAAACUUUACAAUGCUGGCAACAGCGAUAAGGGAACCUCGAGUGCCAGGUUACAAAUCUGGCUGUCGAGAUGCCUAAAAAGCAUUUCAUAGCAAGGGCCGGGCAAGACCGGUGCCAGCCGCCGCGGUAACACCGGCGGCUCGAGUGGUAACCGUUAUUAUUGGGUCUAAAGGGUCUGUAGCCGGCCGGAUAAGUCUCUUGAGAAAUCUGGCAGCUUAACUGUCAGGCCUUCAGGAGAUACUGUCUGGCUCGAGGCCGGGAGAGGUGAGAGGUACUUCAGGGGUAGGGGUGAAAUCUUGUAAUCCUUGAAGGACCACCAGUGGCGAAGGCGUCUCACCAGAACGGACCUGACGGCAAGGGACGAAAGCUAGGGGCACGAACCGGAUUAGAUACCCGGGUAGUCCUAGCCGUAAACGAUACUCGCUAGGUGUCGGCCACGGUGCGACCGUUGUCGGUGCCGUAGGGAAGCCGUGAAGCGAGCCACCUGGGAAGUACGGCCGCAAGGCUGAAACUUAAAGGAAUUGGCGGGGGAGCAC